rnacentral:tRNA from 1 species
GAGGGUGUAGCUCAGUGGUAGAGCACAUGCUUAGCAUGCACGAGGUCCUGGGUUCAAUCCCCAGUACCUCCU